AGUGAACGCUGGCGGUAGGCCUAACACAUGCAAGUCGAACGGCAGCACAGUAAGAGCUUGCUCUUACGGGUGGCGAGUGGCGGACGGGUGAGGAAUACAUCGGAAUCUACUUUUUCGUGGGGGAUAACGUAGGGAAACUUACGCUAAUACCGCAUACGACCUACGGGUGAAAGCAGGGGAUCUUCGGACCUUGCGCGAUUGAAUGAGCCGAUGUCGGAUUAGCUAGUUGGCGGGGUAAAGGCCCACCAAGGCGACGAUCCGUAGCUGGUCUGAGAGGAUGAUCAGCCACACUGGAACUGAGACACGGUCCAGACUCCUACGGGAGGCAGCAGUGGGGAAUAUUGGACAAUGGGCGCAGGUCUGAUCCAGCCAUACCGCGUGGGUGAAGAAGGCCUUCGGGUUGUAAAGCCCUUUUGUGGGGAAAGAAAAGCAGCAGGUUAAUACCCCGCUGUUCUGACGGUACCCAAAGAAUAAGCACCGGCUAACUUCGUG
rnacentral:rRNA from 1 species